rnacentral:rRNA from 1 species
AGUUUGAUCAUGGCUCAGGACGAACGCUGGCGGCGUGCCUAAUACAUGCAAGUCGAGCGAAUCGAUAGAAGCUUGCUUCUGUUGGUUAGCGGCGGACGGGUGAGUAACACGUGGGCAACCUGCCUGUAAGACUGGGAUAACACCGGGAAACCGGUGCUAAUACCGGAUAAUCCUUUUCCUCUCAUGAGGAAAAGCUGAAAGUCGGUUUCGGCUGACACUUACGGAUGGGCCCGCGGCGCAUUAGCUAGUUGGUGAGGUAACGGCUCACCAAGGCGACGAUGCGUAGCCGACCUGAGAGGGUGAUCGGCCACACUGGGACUGAGACACGGCCCAGACUCCUACGGGAGGCAGCAGUAGGGAAUCUUCCACAAUGGACGAAAGUCUGAUGGAGCAACGCCGCGUGAGCGAUGAAGGCCUUCGGGUCGUAAAGCUCUGUUGUUAGGGAAGAACAAGUACCGGAGUAACUGCCGGUACCUUGACGGUACCUAACCAGAAAGCCACGGCUAACUACGUGCCUGCAGCCGCGGUAAUACGUAGGUGGCAAGCGUUGUCCGGAAUUAUUGGGCGUAAAGCGCGCGCAGGCGGUCCUUUAAGUCUGAUG